CGUGAUCUCUGCUAGAGCAAAGCGCGCCCUUUUUCUUCUUCCUCUUCUUCUCCCUCCCACACUGUCGAUUGCCAUGGACUCUCUCCACCACCAAAGAGCAGGAGCAUCCACAUCCAACCCGAAAUCGUCUAAAAGUACUAGUUGCUCGAGCGGGUCGGAUCCAGAGCCUGCUCCGAUUUGUCCUAAAUUCGGGCAACCUUCGUGAAUGGAUUGCGAAGCAGAGGCCUCCAUUCUUGGCAUGGCGGAAAACAUACAAUGUCAGAAAAUCCUGUGUCUCAACCAGUCCAACAUCAUGACAGAAAGUUUUCCAGCCUUUACUAAGGACAUAAAGAUCGGUGCCCCAAGUCGUGAACUUCAUUGGGUACUCCUUGCCUUCCAUGUCAUAAGUUGUCAAAUCGAUGCCUUCAUUAGGGUUUUCACCGUCUCUUAAUACUAGUUUGAUGUGAUUUUCAACGUAUUCUUUGUUCAAGCAGAGCCUGGGAGUUUUACUCACAUCACUGGGUGUUAGCUGUUUCUCAAAAGGCUUGCAGCAAUCUUGGAUUAAUUUUCGUAGGCUUGUGAUUGGUGGCAAAUCAGGAGGGGCAUAGUGUCCAUAGAACAAACCUCCUCCUCCUUCUUGUUGAAAUUGCAGUUCUCUUCGUCCUUGUGCAGCACCAUUAGUGGCUUCAGAUUCUUGGAUUCGUAGUGCCUUUUGCUUACUUCCGCUGGGUGAGUUUAACUCAAUUCCAGAAAGAAUUUUGCUCUUCAUGUGCUCCAACUUUCUCGCUGUUUUGUAAUCCAAAAUUGUAUGCUUUAAAUAUAGAAGAUCAUGAGCACCUUUGAUACUGUCCGUCAUCUCUUUGUCUUCAUAACCGGGGUCUUCACAGUCUUGCGGUUGAUCGGGCAUGUCAUGUGCUGCCAUGACUUUAGAUUCUUGAAACCGAGUUGAGCCUUGGAGGCUUGCAACUGCAGGUUCUUGUGCAACAAUGGCUUCAACUUCAGUGCCUUGUAAGGCUGCUGCUGCCAAUUCUUCUUGCGCAUUUUCUGCAGGCUCAUUAUUUCCUUCCAACUCGUCAUUGGAGGAUUCAGAAUUGGAAAAGGCUGCUGCAAAUUCAUUUGGGGGGUCAUCAUUAUGAUCAUCAGCCAUUAUGCUUCUUCUGAUCGCAAGAGAAAAAUGUUUCUUUGGGAGAUUAUAUUAAUUUGGUUGAAGAGAAAUGGGAAAUGAAAGGCAGUAGACGUGCACAGGAAUCCACAACCGGGCCGUUUUCCACCUUCUGCGCCUUUCCUUUGAUGUAGGAC